rnacentral:rRNA from 1 species
UACGAAGGGGGCUAGCGUUGCUCGGAAUCACUGGGCGUAAAGGGGGCGUAGGAGGGGCUUUAAGUCAGGGGGGAAAUCCUGGAGCUCAACUCCAGAACUGCCUUUGAUACUGAGGAUCUUGAGUCCGGGAGAGGUGAGUGGAACUGCGAGUGUAGAGGUGAAAUUCGUAGAUAUUCGCAAGAACACCAGUGGCGAAGGCGGCUCACUGGCCCGGUACUGACGCUGAGGCACGAAAGCGUGGGGAGCAAACAGG